CACCCAGACUCCUACGGGAGGCAGCAGUGGGGAAUAUUGCACAAUGGGGGGAACCCUGAUGCAGCGAAGCCGCGUGGGUGAAGGAGUACUUCGGUACGUAAAGCCCUAUCAGCAGGAAAGAAAAUGACGGUACCUGACUAAGAAGCCCCGGCUAACUACGUGCCAGCAGCCGCGGUAAUACGUAGGGGGCAAGCGUUAUCCGGAUUCACUGGGUGUAAAGGGAGCGUAGACGGCCAUGCAAGCCUGGAGUGAAAGCCCGGGGCCCAACCCCGGGACUGCUCUGGGAACUGUGCGGCUGGAGUGCGGGAGGGGCAGGCGGAAUUCCUGGUGUAGCGGUGAAAUGCGUAGAUAUCAGGAGGAACACCGGCGGCGAAGGCGGCCUGCUGGACCGCGACUGACGUUGAGGCUCGAAAGCGUGGGGAGCAAACAGGAUUAGAUACCCCUGUAC
rnacentral:rRNA from 1 species